rnacentral:rRNA from 1 species
GUGGGGAAUAUUGGGCAAUGGGGGAAACCCUGACCCAGCGACGCCGCGUGAGGGAAGAAGGCCUUAGGGUCGUAAACCUCUGUUGUGUGGGAAGAAGAGCGUGACGGUACCACACGAGGAAGUCCCGGCUAACUACGUGCCAGCAGCCGCGGUAAUACGUAGGGGACGAGCGUUGUCCGGAUUUACUGGGCGUAAAGGGCGCGUAGGCGGUCAUUUAAGUCAGCUGUGAAAUGGUUUGGCUUAACCGGAGCAUGCGGUUGAGACUGGAUGGCUGGAGUGCUGGAGAGGCAAGUGGAAUUCCCAGUGUAGCGGUGAAAUGCGUAGAUAUUGGGAAGAACACCGGUGGCGAAGGCGACUUGCUGGCCAGCAACUGACGCUGAGGCGCGAAAGCCAGGGGAGCAAACGGGAUUAGAAACCCUGGUAGUCC